rnacentral:rRNA from 1 species
GAUUAUGGCUCAGAACGAACGCUGGUAGCGUGGAUUAGGCAUGCAAGGUCGAACGGGAUCGUCUGGAUAGCAAUAUUCGGGCGUGAGAGUGGCGGAUUGGGGAGGAACACGUGAGCAACCUGUCCUGGGUGGGGAAAACCGCGGGAAACUGCGGCUAAUACCGGAUGUGGCGCCUGGAGACAUCUCCGGAGCGCUAAAGGGGGCCGCAAGGCUCCCGCCCUGGGAGGGGCUCGCGCACCAUCAGCUAGUUGGCGGGGUAACGGCCCACCAAGGCGUACGGUUAGCUGGUCUGGGAGGAUGACCAGCCCCACUGGGACUGAGAUACUGCCCAGACUCCUACGGGAGGCUGCAGUCGAGGAUCAUUUGCAAUGGGCGAAAGCCUGACAAUGCGACGUUGCGUGGAGGAUGAAGGCCUUCGGGUUGUAAACUCCUGUCAUAGGGGAACAGGCGAGGGGACCCAACACGUCCCUUAGUUGAGUGUACUCUAAAAGGAAGCGACGGCUAACUCUGUGCCAGCAGCGGC